UACGAAGGGUGCAAACGUUGCUCGGAAUUAUUGGGCGUAAAGCGCACGUAGGCGGCUUUGCAAGUCUGAUGUGAAAUCCCUCGGCUUAACCAAGGAAGUGCAUUAGAAACUGCAGAGCUUGAGUACUAAAGAGGAUCGCGGAAUUCCCGGUGUAGAGGUGAAAUUCGUAGAUAUCGGGAGGAACACCAGUGGCGAAGGCGGCGAUCUGGGUAGAUACUGACGCUGAGGUGCGAAAGCGUGGGGAGCAAACAGG
rnacentral:rRNA from 1 species